rnacentral:rRNA from 1 species
GACGAACGCUGGCGGCGUGCUUAACACAUGCAAGUCGAACGGAAAGGCCCUGCUUUUGUGGGGUGCUCGAGUGGCGAACGGGUGAGUAACACGUGAGUAACCUGCCCUUGACUUUGGGAUAACUUCAGGAAACUGGGGCUAAUACCGGAUAGGAGCUCCUGCUGCAUGGUGGGGGUUGGAAAGUUUCGGCGGUUGGGGAUGGACUUGCGGCUUAUCAGCUUGUUGGUGGGGUAGUGGCUUACCAAGGCUUGGACGGGUAGCCGGCCUGGGAGGGGGACCGGCCCCAUGGGCCUACGGGAGGCACCAGGGCCCAAGCGGGGGCAAUGGGUGGGAGUUUUACCCAGUGGGGCGGAGCGUGUGAAGAAGGUCCCCGGAUUGGAAAGGACGGCUUUGGGGGUGGAACCCCUUUUAGCCCAUACCGAGCGGUGUUGACGUUAACUGGAUAAAAAGCCCCGGCUAACUUCGUG